rnacentral:sRNA from 1 species
GCCACCUCCUCGUGGUGCAGCCUGGUAACAUCAUCUAGUGAUGAUGGCCAAGAGCAGAGCGGUUUGUUAUGAGUGUCUGAUUCUUAGUGAACUCAGCAUUCAUUGGCCUUCAGGCCUUGAUCUUUGCUCCCUGUGAGCAAUCACCCUGCCACUGCUCCCUGCGAGCAAUCGUCCUGCUGCUGCUCGCUACGAGCAAUCGCCCUGCCGCUGCUCCCUGUGAGCAAUCGCCCUGCCUCUGCCCUGCCUCCGCCCUGCCUCUGCUCUCUGUGAGAGCAAUCACCCUGCCGCUGCUCACUACGAGCAAUCGUCCUGCUGCUGCUCCCUGCGAGCAAUCACCCUGCCGCUGCUCCCUGCGAGCAAUCGUCCUGCUGCUGCUCCCUGCGAGCAAUCGCCCUGCCGCUGCUCCCUGUGAGCAAUCGCCCUGCCUCUGCCCUGCCUCCGCCCUCCCUCUGCUCUCUGUGAGAGCAAUCACCCUGCUGCUGCUCACUACGAGCAAUCGCCCUGCUGCUGCUCCCUGCGAGCAAUCGCCCUGCCGCUGCUCCCUGCGAGCAAUCGUCCUGCUGCUGCUCGCUACGAGCAAUCGCCCUGCCGCUGCUUCCUGUGAGCAAUCGCCCUGCCUCUGCCCUGCCUCCGCCCUGCCUCUGCUCUCUGUGAGAGCAAUCACCCUGCCGCUGCUCACUACGAGCAAUCGCCCUGCUGCUGCUCCCUGCGAGCAAUCGCCCUGCCGCUGCUCCCUGCGAGCAAUCGCCCUGCCGCUGCUCCCUGCGAGCAAUCGUCCUGCUGCUGCUCGCUACGAGCAAUCGCCCUGCCGCUGCUCCCUGUGAGCAAUCGCCCUGCCUCCGCCCUGCCUCCGCCCUGCCUCUGCUCUCUGUGAGAGCAAUCACCCUGCCGCUGCUCACUACGAGCAAUCGCCCUGCCGCUGCUCCCUGCGAGCAAUCACCCUGCCGCUGCUCACUGCGAGCAAUCGCCCUGCCGCUGCUCCCUGCGAGCAAUCGCCCUGCCGUAGCACUUGUGUGCUUUGAUUAUCUCUACCAUGAAUGGCCAUACGUCGGGCCAGAAGUGGAUGAACAGUCUAUAUAGACUGAGUCUUCUCAAGAGUUGCUAUCUGGAUCCUGUGUCUAUCAUUACUGUGUAUAUAGAGAUUUCUCCAGCGUAGCACGUCCCCAUGCCCUUCGGGAGGCUUUUGAAGUGCAGGCAUUGCCUGUGUCUUCUCUGGGACGCUAAACCAAUACAUACAUACAU